AUCAUAAACGAGCCUAUGUUUUCUUUACUUUGUGCCCGUUUGUAGUACGGAAAACAUAGGGUCUUUUGUGAUUGAUUGGUCACUAAAAAUUGUUAACGCCACUGACUUUUUAUCUUUGUCAUUUGUAUGGGAUUACGUAACAGAGAGAGCUAUACUUAUUCACUUCUCUCCGUGGACCGCGUAUAUGAGUUU